rnacentral:rRNA from 1 species
UGCAGUCGAGCGGACAGAUGGGAGCUUGCUCCCUGAUGUUAGCGGCGCACUGGUGAGUAACACGUGGGUAACCUGCCUGUAAGACUGGGACCACUCCGGGAAACCGGGGCUAAUACCGGAUGCUUGUUUGAACCGCAUGGUUCAAACAUAAAAGGUGGCUUCGGCUACCACUUACAGAUGGACCCGCGGCGCAUUAGCUAGUUGGUGAGGUAACGGCUCACCAAGGCAACGAUGCGUAGCCGACCUGAGAGGGUGAUCGGCCACACUGGGACUGAGACACGGCCCAGACUCCUACGGGAGGCAGCAGUAGGGAAUCUUCCGCAAUGGACGAAAGUCUGACGGAGCAACGCCGCGUGAGUGAUGAAGGUUUUCGGAUCGUAAAGCUCUGUUGUUAGGGAAGAACAAGUACCGUUCGAAUAGGGCGGUACCUUGACGGUACCUAACCAGAAAGCCACGGCUAACUACGUGCCAGCAGCCGCGGUAAUACGUAGGUGGCAAGCGUUGUCCGGAAUUAUUGGGCGUAAAGGGCUCGCAGGCGGUUUCUUAAGUCUGAUGUGAAAGCCCCCGGCUCAACCGGGGAGGGUCAUUGGAAACUGGGGAACUUGAGUGCAGAAGAGGAGAGUGGAAUUCCACGUGUAGCGGUGAAAUGCGUAGAGAUGUGGAGGAACACCAGU